CAUAGUAUCCAUCUCGUGCAAAAGCUCAUCCCAUUAAAAUUGGGUAAAGUGCUGAAACUCAAGAAUUGAGUAAAGUGGUGUGAACUUAAAAAUAGGGAAGCAUUACCUAAAAGAAGCUCAACAGAUGGUUCUCAAAAAUGGGUUUUCGUGAUCGUUCUUAAAAAUGGGCUUGCUCAGCGAUAUCUGUACUAACGAACUGAUUCACCAACUCAUUUACCGAGCGACGAGAGCUAUGCGUUAGUGUUUUGAACAAUUUUAUGGACAAAGAAUCAUUCAAUGGCCUAAGCAAAGCAGGGAUGUUAAUGUUGAACACAGUAAAAGUCUUAAAAAAACAUCUGAUGUUUGUAAAGCGUUCGCUCCCAUAUUGAUACCACAAUUCCUGCCUAGCACAAUCAUAAAAUGGCCACUUUGAAACGCUGAGCCGAAACAAAUAAUGUGAGCUGUAGGGUUCUCACGGUCGAGGUAAUCAGUAGCAUCUUCAAUCUAAAAUAAAUAAAAUGAAAAAUAAAUUUUUACACAUAGUAAGGGUUAAAGCACAAGUAUGGCGAUAGAAAAAAUUAUUGUGCCAGUAGAAUAGAAUCAAAUAUUGUAGAAAGAGAAAGGUUUCCAGUAAACUCCAAAAAUAUCGUUUUAUUGUAGUAAUUAAUGGAAACCUUUUUCUUCAAAUGAUCAAAAAAUCUUGGUUAAAUAUUCUCAUAUACCUAACCAAGAACGAUUGUAAAUUGUUAAAAUAGUAUUUUAAGUCAUUCCAUCAAAACAAAUUUUGAAAAGCAUUGAAAUUUUUUUUGUCUGCAUUU